UACUAUCCAAUACAUCCUCAUGGAAAACAAGUCGAAGCGUAAGCAUACGGAUUAAGAGCUACCUGUCGAAGACGACGACGGAGGCGGCGACGAUGAUGACGAACACGCACAGCUUCUGAGCGUCUCUCUUCCUCUUCUCACAGUGUUGGAGCGAGCUGGAAGCGUGUGAGCGAUAACGAUCUGCGAGCUUCGAAGCUUC
rnacentral:lncRNA from 1 species